rfam:Trichobilharzia regenti genome assembly, scaffold: TRE_scaffold0025099
GUGCGGCUGAAGAGUCCCAAACUAGGACGAAACAGCUGUCCAGUAC